UACAGAGGUGGCAAGCGUUGUUCGGAUUUAUUGGGCGUAAAGGGUCCGUAGGCGGUUUGAAAAGUCGGAUGUGAAAUCCCACAGCUCAACUGUGGAACUGCAUUCGAAACUUUCAGACUAGAGUGUGAGAGGGGUAAAGGGAAUUCCCGGUGUAAGGGUGAAAUCUGCAGAGAUCGGGAGGAACACCAGUCGCGAAGGCGCUUUACUGGCUCACUACUGACGCUCAGGGACGAAAGCUAGGGGAGCAAACGGG
rnacentral:rRNA from 1 species